rnacentral:rRNA from 1 species
UACGUAGGGGGCAAGCGUUGUCCGGAUUUAUUGGGCGUAAAGAGCGUGUAGGCGGCUUUACAGGUCCGUUGUGAAAACUCGAGGCUCAACCUCGAGACGCCGGUGGAAACCGUAAAGCUAGAGUCCGGAAGAGGAGAGUGGAAUUCCGGGUGGAGCGGUGAAAUGCGUAGAGAUCCGGAGGAACACCGACGGCGUAGGCAGCGCCCUGGCCGUUUCCUGACGCUGAAGCACGAAAGCUGGGGGAGCAAACAGG